GAUGAACGCUGGCGGCGUGCUUAACACAUGCAAGUCGAACGGAAAGGCUCCUGCUUGCAGGGGUACUCGAGUGGCGAACGGGUGAGUAACACGUGGGUGAUCUGCCCUGCACUUCGGGAUAAGCCUGGGAAACUGGGUCUAAUACCGGAUAGGACGAUGGUUUGGAUGCCAUUGUGGAAAGUUUUUCGGUGUGGGAUGAGCUCGCGGCCUAUCAGCUUGUUGGUGGGGUAAUGGCCUACCAAGGCGUCGACGGGUAGCCGGCCUGAGAGGGUGUACGGCCACAUUGGGACUGAGAUACGGCCCAGACUCCUACGGGAGGCAGCAGUGGGGAAUAUUGCACAAUGGGCGCAAGCCUGAUGCAGCGACGCCGCGUGGGGGAUGACGGUCUUCGGGUUGUAAACUCCUUUCGCUAGGGACGAAGCGCAAGUGACGGUACCUGGAGAAGAAGCACCGGCUAACUACGUG
rnacentral:rRNA from 1 species